rnacentral:rRNA from 1 species
UACAGAGGGGGCAAGCGUUGUUCGGAAUUACUGGGCGUAAAGGGUUUGUAGGUGGCUUGCUAAGUCAGACGUGAAAUCCCUCAGCUUAACUGGGGAACUGCGUCUGAUACUGGCGAGCUUGAGUGCAGGAGAGGAACGCGGAAUUCCAGGUGUAGCGGUGAAAUGCGUAGAUAUCUGGAGGAACACCGGUGGCGAAGGCGGCGUUCUGGACUGCAACUGACACUGAAAAACGAAAGCCAGGGGAGCAAACGGG